rnacentral:rRNA from 1 species
CGAACGGGUGAGUAACGCGUGAGGAACCUGCCUCAAAGAGGGGGACAACAGUUGGAAACGACUGCUAAUACCGCAUAAGCCCACGGCUCGGCAUCGAGCAGGGGGAAAAGGAGCAAUCCGCUUUGAGAUGGCCUCGCGUCCGAUUAGCUAGUUGGUGAGGUAACGGCCCACCAAGGCGACGAUCGGUAGCCGGACUGAGAGGUUGAACGGCCACAUUGGGACUGAGACACGGCCCAG